rnacentral:rRNA from 1 species
CCUACGGGAGGCAGCAGUGAGGAAUAUUGGUCAAUGGACGCAAGUCUGAACCAGCCAUGCCGCGUGCAGGAAGACGGCUCUAUGAGUUGUAAACUGCUUUUGUACGAGGGUAAACGCAGAUACGCGUAUCUGUCUGAAAGUAUCUUACGAAUAAGGAUCGGCUAACUCCGUGCCAGCAGCCGCGGUAAUACGGAGGAUUCAAGCGUUAUCCGGAUUUAUUGGGUUUAAAGGGAGCGUAGGCGGUCGGAUAAGUUAGUGGUGAAAGCCCGCGGCUCAACUUCGGAAUUGCCUCUGAUACUGUCAGGCUAGAGAGUAGUUGCGGUAGGCGGAAUGUAUGGUGUAGCGGUGAAAUGCUUAGAGAUCACACAGAACACCGAUUGCGAAGGCAGCUUACCAAGCUACUUCUGACGUUGAGGCACGAAAGCGUGGGGAGCAAACAGGAUUAGAUACCCCAGUAGUC